GACGAACGCUGGCGGCGUGCUUAACACAUGCAAGUCGAACGGUAAGGCCCUUCGGGGUACACGAGUGGCGAACGGGUGAGUAACACGUGGGUGAUCUGCCCUGCACUUCGGGAUAAGCCUGGGAAACUGGGUCUAAUACCGGAUAGGACCACUGCCUGCAUGGGUGGUGGUGGAAAGCUUUUGCGGUGUGGGAUGGGCCCGCGGCCUAUCAGCUUGUUGGUGGGGUGAUGGCCUACCAAGGCGACGACGGGUAGCCGGCCUGAGAGGGUGACCGGUCACCCUGGGACUGAGAUACGGCCCAGACUCCUACGGGAGGCAGCAGUGGGGAAUAUUGCACAAUGGGCGCAAGCCUGAUGCAGCGACGCCGCGUGAGGGAUGACGGCCUUCGGGUUGUAAACCUCUUUCAGCACCGACGAAGCGCAAGUGACGGUAGGUGCAGAAGAAGGACCGGCCAACUACGUGCCAGCCGCCGCUGUAA
rnacentral:rRNA from 1 species